rnacentral:lncRNA from 1 species
CAAGAGUUCUCUCUUGCCUCACACCAUUAAGGUGGCCCCCUGGGUCUUCGUGUGCCUGAGGACAUGAGUGCUUCAUGAGCUCUGAGUGAUCAAGCCUCAUCUCUGGCCCCGGAUUGAAUUCUUCUCCUCCGGAGGCCAAGAUCCCAGCAUCUUUGCAUGGUUCUGCAACAACCUUUCAUCUUGCGGGCUCGUCCGGGAUUCUGCAAGACAAGAUGGGAGCUAACAAUUUCAGCCUCACUCCUUUGAACUGUAUCCUGAAAAACUGGGAUAGAUUUGAUCCCCAGGGUUUAUAGAAGACACACCUGGUCUUCCUAUGUGAUGCUGCAUGGCCAUGGUAUCCAUUGGAGAAUGGCAAACGGUGGCUGGUUGGAGGGUCUCUUAAGUAUAAUAGUGUUUUACAAUUAGACCAGUUCUGUAGAAAACAAGGGAAACGGGUAGAAGUAG